rnacentral:lncRNA from 1 species
GUAGGGGGUCCCAUUUAGGGUUAGGGUUAGAGGGUCCCUAUUAGGGUUAUGGGGUCCCUAUUAGGGGUAGGGGGUCCCAAUUAGGGUUAGGGUUAAGGGGUCCCUAUUAGGGUUAUGGGGUCCCAAUUAGGGUUAGGGUCCCUAUUAGGGGUAGGGGACGGGUUAAGGGGUCUCAAUGUUAGGGUUAUGGGGUCCCUAUUAUGGUUAGGGUCCCUAUUAGGGUUAAGGGUAGGGGUCGCAAUUAGGGUUAGGGGGUCCCUAAGCCCCCCCAUAAUAGGGUUAGGGGUAGGGGGUCCCUAUUAGGGUUAUGGGGUCCCAAAUAGGGGUAGGGGGUCCCUAAGCCCCCCCAAGUAAGGCCUCAUUUCCGCCCCCCCUCCAAUAUGGCUCCAUUUCCGGUUAGACCCCCUAAAAUAUGGCUCCAUUUCCGGUUAGACCCCCUAAAAUAUGGCUCCAUUUCCGGUCCCCUCCCAAAAUGGCUCCACUUCCGGUUCCCUCCCAAACUGGCUGCACUUCCUGAUCGCCCCUCCCAAAAUGGCUCCAUUUCCGGACCGCCCUUCCCAAGAUGGCUCCACUUCCGGUCUCACCGUUGCUAUCCGUUCUGACGUCACUGGGCGGCACUCGGGCAGUGCCGUUGCCGGGGGUCUGUGCAGCGCCGCGUCCAGGGCGGUUCCGAUGGCGGUUCCACCCGUCAGAGCCGCGAACACCCACAGGAAAACACGGUCCACCAACAUGGCGGCGAAACGCCACUGCUCACGGAGCUGCAACGGGAACGAGCCUUGCACCACGGCUUGCACGGCUGCUUUGCACCACGGCUUUGCACGGCUGCUUUGCACGAGUGCUUUGCACCACGGCUUGCACGGCUGCUUUGCACNUUGCACCACGGCUUGCACGGCUGCUUUGCACCACGGCUUUGCACGGCUGCUUUGCACGAGUGCUUUGCACCACGGCUUGCACGGCUGCUUUGCACGGCUGCUUUGCAUGGCUGCUUUGCACCACGGCUUUGCAUGACUUUGCAUGGCUGAGUGCACAGCAGCAAUGCAAUGCAUGGUUCUGCUGCAAGGCUUUGCAAUGCACGGCUGUGCUGCAAGGCUGUGCAAUGCAGCAGCCUUGCACCACGGCUUUGCACAACUGCUUUGCACGGCUGCUUUGCACAACGGCUUUGCACCACAGCUUUGCACGGCUGCUUUGCACAGCUGCUUUGCACCACGGCUUUGCACGGCUGCUUUGCACAGCUGCUUUGCACGGCUGAUUGCACAGCGACUUUGCAUGGCUGAUUGCACGGCUGCUUUGCACGGCAGCUUUGCAUGGCUGAUGGCACGGCAGCAAUGCAAUGCAUGGCUGUGCUGCAAGGCUUUGCAAUGCAUGGCUUUGCACUGCAGGAGGGGGAGUUAACACGCCUUGCACGACAGCUUUGCACCACGGCUUUGCACGGCUGAUUGCACGGCUGAUUGCACGGCAGCAAUGCAAUGCACGGCUCUGCUGCCAGGCUUUGCAAUGCAUGGCCUUGCACUGCAGGAGGGGGAGUUAACACGCCUUGCACUACAGCUUUGCACGGCUGCUUUGCACGGCUGAUUGCACAGCAGCAAUGCAAUGCACGGCUGUGCUGCAAGGCUGUGCAAUGCAUAGCUUUGCAUUGCAGGAGGGGGAGUUAACAUGUCUUGCACCACGGCUUUGCACGGCUGCUUUGCACCACGGCUUUGCAUGACUUUGCAUGGCUGAGUGCACAGCAGCAAUGCAAUGCAUGGUCCUGCUGCAAGGCUUUGCAAUGCAUGGCUGUGCUGCAAGGCUUUGCAACGCACGGCUUUGCACUGCAGCGGGGGGUGCUUAACACGCCUUGCACCACGGCUUUGCAUGACUGAUUGAUUGCAUGGCUGCUUUGCACUGCAGCUUGCAUGACAGCAAUGCAAUGCAUGGUUCUGCUGCAAGGCUUUGCAAUGCACGGCUUUGCACUGCAGCUGGGGGUGCUUAACACGCCUUGCACCACGGCUUUGCACGACUGCUUUGCACGGCUGUUUGCACCAUGACUUUGCACCAUGGCUUGCAGCAUGGCUUUGCACUGUGGUUGCUUUGCACUACGGUUUGGACCUUGCACGGGGAGGGGGGGUGACACAUGAGGAGGUCACGUGGGGGGGGGUCACACGGGGCCUUGCACAAGUGCUGGGUCACAAGGGGGGGGUCACACUGGGGCGUCACACAUCCUUGCACGGGGGGGGGAUCCCAUAGGAUACAUAGGGGUUCCAUAGGGGGGU